rnacentral:rRNA from 1 species
GACGAACGCUGGCGGCGUGCUUAACACAUGCAAGUCGAACGGAAAGGCCCUGCUUGCAGGGUGCUCGAGUGGCGAACGGGUGAGUAACACGUGGGUGAUCUGCCCCUUACUUUGGGAUAAGCCUGGGAAACUGGGUCUAAUACUGGAUAGGACCAUGCUAUAGGUGGUGUGGUGGAAAGAUUAGUUUCGGUAAGGGAUGAGCUCGCGGCCUAUCAGCUUGUUGGUGGGGUAAUGGCCUACCAAGGCGUCGACGGGUAGCCGGCCGGAGAGGGUGGACGGCCACAUUGGGGCUGAGAUACGGCCCAGACUCCUACGGGAGGCAGCAGUGGGGAGUAUUGCACAAUGGGCGCAAGCCGGAUGCAGCGACGCCGCGGGGGGGAUGACGGCCUUCGGGUUGUAAACUCCUUUCAGCCAUGACGAAGCCCUUGUGGUGACGGUAGUGGUAGAAGAAGCACCGGCUAACUACGUG